GUCUACAGCUAUGCUAUCUUAAAUAAUCCCGAUCCCGUCUGAUCUCGGAAGCUAAGCAGGGUCGGGCCUGGUUAAUACUUGGAUGGGAGACCACUUAGGAAGAUCAGGUGUUGUAGGCA
rnacentral:rRNA from 1 species